rnacentral:rRNA from 1 species
AUUGAACGCUGGCGGCAUGCUUUACACAUGCAAGUCGAACGGUAACAGCACUUCGGUGGCUGACGAGUGGCGAACGGGUGAGUAAUACAUCGGAACGUGCCUAGUAGUGGGGGAUAACUACUCGAAAGAGUAGCUAAUACCGCAUGAGAUCUAAGGAUGAAAGCAGGGGACCUUCGGGCCUUGCGCUACUAGAGCGGCUGAUGGCAGAUUAGGUAGUUGGUGGGGUAAAAGCUUACCAAGCCGACGAUCUGUAGCUGGUCUGAGAGGACGACCAGCCACACUGGGACUGAGACACGGCCCAGACUCCUACGGGAGGCAGCAGUGGGGAAUUUUGGACAAUGGGCGCAAGCCUGAUCCAGCAAUGCCGCGUGCAGGAUGAAGGCCUUCGGGUUGUAAACUGCUUUUGUACGGAACGAAAAGCCCUCUUCUAAUACAGGAGGGUCAUGACGGUACCGUAAGAAUAAGCACCGGCUAACUACGUG